GAUGAACGCUGGCGGCGUGCCUAAUACAUGCAAGUCGAGCGAACAGACGAGGAGCUUGCUCCUCUGACGUUAGCGGCGGACGGGUGAGUAACACGUGGAUAACCUACCUAUAAGACUGGGAUAACUUCGGGAAACCGGAGCUAAUGCCGGAUAAUAUAUUGAACCGCAUGGUUCAAUAGUGAAAGACGGUUUUGCUGUCACUUAUAGAUGGAUCCGCGCCGCAUUAGCUAGUUGGUAAGGUAACGGCUUACCAAGGCAACGAUGCGUAGCCGACCUGAGAGGGUGAUCGGCCACACGGGAACUGAGACACGGUCCAGACGCCUACGGGAGGCAGCAGUAGGGAAUCUUCCGCAAUGGGCGAAAGCCUGACGGAGCAACGCCGCGUGAGUGAUGAAGGUCUUCGGAUCGUAAAACUCUGUUAUUAGGGAAGAACAAAUGUGUAAGUAACUAUGCACGUCUUGACGGUACCUAAUCAGAAAGCCACGGCUGACUACGUG
rnacentral:rRNA from 1 species